UGCCCCAGUUCGGGCGAACCGGUAGUAGCAGCGAAGGGAGGCUCCGCCCAUCCACCCGGAUGUCAUCCAAUGCAAUCUGUGCAUGUGCAGAAGUGGCACGCGCACGAGCGAAGUGAGCGCGCAUGCACAAGCAAAGCGGUAGCAAAGCAGCCCAGAUUACAGCAAGAAAUGGGAUUGGUUCUAGUCCAGAAGGAUUGUGGACAAAUGUGGCCUGAUGAAUCUCUUUGACUGUUCUAGGGAUUGUGGUGAAAGUAGCAUUCUGUAACGUCUGGAGUCUAAGAAGCUGCUUUCCAUAGGAUACAGUUAUUGGUCCAUCUAGCACAAUAUAGUUUCUACUGGUGUGCACAGACUGAAUUUGGAGAGACAUAGACCUUGAAAAUGUGAUCCCUAGAAAAAUGCAUUAAU